CUAUACAUGCAGUCGAGCGGAUUCAUCCUUCGGGAUGAGUUAGCGGCGGACGGGUGAGUAACACGUAGGCAACCUGCCUAUAAGACUGGGAUAACUAUCGGAAACGAUAGCUAAGACCGGAUAACUGGUUUUCUCGCAUGAGAGAAUCAUGAAACACGGAGCAAUCUGUGGCUUAUAGAUGGGCCUGCGGCGCAUUAGCUAGUUGGUGAGGUAACGGCUCACCAAGGCGACGAUGCGUAGCCGACCUGAGAGGGUGAACGGCCACACUGGGACUGAGACACGGCCCAGACUCCUACGGGAGGCAGCAGUAGGGAAUCUUCCGCAAUGGACGCAAGUCUGACGGAGCAACGCCGCGUGAGUGAUGAAGGUUUUCGGAUCGUAAAGCUCUGUUGCCCUAGACGAACAGCAAGGCGAGUAACUGCGCUUUGUGUGACGGUAUAGGAGAAGAAAGCCCCGGCUAACUACGUGCCAGCAGCCGCGGUAAUACGUAGGGGGCAAGCGUUGUCCGGAAUUAUUGGGCGUAAAGCGCGCGCAGGCGGUCAAUUAAGUUGGGUGUUUAAGCCCGGGGCUCAACCCCGGUUCGCAUCCAA
rnacentral:rRNA from 1 species